rnacentral:rRNA from 1 species
AUGGACGACCCUGUACCACAAGGUCAGGAUACCUAUGUUGAUCCACCAGAAGUUAACCCGGCUAGUCCUCAUGCCGAUCCACCAAGCCCAAUUGCUGACCCUCCAAAUCUAGUCGCUGAUCCGCCGAGCCCAGCCAAAGCUACAGACAAACCCGUGAGCCCAAAUAAAACAACUGAUGAUGUUGUGAUUACCGGAUUUGGCCACACUUCUCCUGGCAACCCUAUCGCUUUGUCAAAGCACAGUGCCAAAGUGGAAUCUGUUGCUGUGGAGAAAGGCAAAUGGAGGACUGAUUUGUCAAGCUAUGCUCAUCUCAGUGCUCAGGAGCUCCAUUCCGGAUUUCUAAACCGCAUGAACACAAGUCGUGACUAUGAGGCCGGUUUAGUCAACAUGAUGAAGGAACGCUAUGAGGUAACUUCCAUUCCAAACCCCUUUAUAAAUUAUCUUUAUACUGUAUAUCAACUCCACUGUAGCCCGCAAGGGUCGGUUUAUCUUUUCAAGAUGAACCCGAACUUUGGAUAA